rnacentral:rRNA from 1 species
GACGAACGCUGGCGGCGUGCCUAACACAUGCAAGUCGAACGAAGCAGUUCCGAACGGAGAUUCGUCAAAGUUUGGGAUUGACUUAGUGGCGGACGGGUGAGUAAUGCAUGAGCAACCUGCCCUGCAGAGGGGGACAACAGUUGGAAACGACUGCUAAUACCGCAUGAUGUGCCGAGGGGGCAUCCCUUUGGCACCAAAGAUUUAUCGCUGUGGGAUGGGCUCAUGUCUGAUUAGUUAGUUGGUGGGGUAACGGCCUACCAAGACUGCGAUCAGUAGCCGGACUGGAGAGGGUUGAACGGCCACAUUGGGACUGAGAUACGGCCCAGACUCCUACGGGA